GCCUAAUUAGUGCAGUGGGCAGUGUGUCAGUCUCAUAAACUGACGGUCCUGAGUUUGAACCUCAGAGAAGGCA
rnacentral:tRNA from 1 species